rnacentral:rRNA from 1 species
AAUGAACGUUGGCGGCGUGGAUUAGGCAUGCAAGUCGAGCGAGAACCCCGCAAGGGGGGACAGCGGCGCAAGGGACAGUAAUGUGUAGAUCAUCUGCCCUCAGGUCCGGGAUAGCUGCGGGAAACUGCAGGUAAUACCGGAUAACAUCUCCGGAUCAAAGGUGUGAUUCCGCCUGAGGAUGAGUCUGCAUCCUAUUAGCUAGUUGGCAGGGUAACGGCCUACAAAGGCAUUGAUGGGUAGCGGGUGUGAGAGCACGAACCGCGUCAUUGGGACUGAGACACUGCCCAGACGCCUACGGGUGGCUGCAGUCGAGAAUCUUCGGCAAUGGGCGCAAGCCUGACCGAGCGACGCCGCGUGUGGGAUGGAGGCCUUCGGGUUGUAAACCACUGUCAGAGGGGAUGAAAUGCAGGUGGGUUCUCCCAUCUGUUUGACAUAGCCUCAGAGGAAGGACGGGCUAAGUUCGUGCCAGCCGCCGCUGUAA